rnacentral:rRNA from 1 species
UACGAAGGGAGCUAGCGUUGUUCGGAAUUACUGGGCGUAAAGCGCGCGUAGGUGGUCAUGCAAGUCAGAGGUGAAAUCCCAGGGCUCAACCCUGGAACUGCCCUUGAUACUGGAAGUCUCGAGUCCGGGAGAGGUGAGUGGAACUCCGAGUGUAGAGGUGAAAUUCGUAGAUAUUCGGAAGAACACCAGUGGCGAAGGCGGCUCACUGGCCCGGUACUGACGCUGAGGUGCGAAAGCGUGGGGAGCAAACAGG